GUAGGGAAUAUUGGGCAAUGGAGGCAACUCUGACCCAGCCAUGCCGCGUGCAGGAUGACGGCCCUCUGGGUUGUAAACUGCUUUUAUACGGGAAGAAAAAAUACUAAGUGUAGUAUACUGACGGUACCGUAAGAAUAAGGAUCGGCUAACUCCGUGCCAGCAGCCGCGGUAAUACGGAGGAUCCAAGCGUUGUCCGGAUUUAUUGGGUUUAAAGGGUGCGUAGGCGGAUCUUUAAGUCAGUGGUGAAAGCCUGCAGCUUAACUGUAGAAUUGCCAUUGAAACUGAAGAUCUUGAAUGUGGUUAAAGUAGGCGGAAUGUAUCAUGUAGCGGUGAAAUGCUUAGAUAUGAUACAGAACACCGAUAGCGAAGGCAGCUUGCUGAACCAUUAUUGACGCUGAGGCACGAAAGCGUGGGGAGCGAACAGGAUUAGAAACCCGGGUAGUCC
rnacentral:rRNA from 1 species